UAAAAGAGGAGAUUCUCCGUCCGCUAGUAAUUCUAGCGGACUGAUUUAAAACAUUUUUAGGUCCUAAAUGCCCCUAAUUAGCCUACACCCCGUCCGCUAGAAAUUCUGGUAGACACAUAUUUCUAAAUUAAUCGACUGUAAUCUGAAAAGGUAACAAACUCGCCUUCUCUGCGGCUUUUCCUCAUGAUAGCUCCAAAUCGACUGUAGAUCGGCAAUUAGGAGUGUAAAUUGGGGCUCCCUAGCUCCAAAUCGACUGUAGAUCGGCAAUUAGGAGUGCAAAUUGGGGCUUGUGCGUCCAAAUAUCCUUGGAUGUGAAAACGAUUUGGGGGGAAAAGGUAACAAAAAUUCCUUGUGCCUUCUUCUAAUAUGUAAUUGUUAAGCAUACUAACCAGUUAAUAUGUUGUUUGUGGUGAACGAUAGAGUUCCAAGUCACUGUAGUUGAAGAGGGGUUGGGGGUUAUUUUUGCGGAAGUAUUUCAACUUCAUACCCUGUCCUACCCUUUUUAUUUUCAUCAAGACAAAAGUAACAUGAGAUCCUGAUCAUGGAUGUUAGUAAGUCAAUGGUAAAUAUCUCAAUCCUUCUUCUCCAUUGGUGGUAUGUGUUGAAAAUUGUCUACAAUGAGGGCAUAUAUACUUCUCAAGUUGUGGUUAUUAGGAGGAGAUUAAGUUUAAGGCCCAUAAUUUGUUGGUGAUUUGAAAACUUGAUGGAAGAUGUGUGUGUGUGUGUGUGUAUAUAUAUAUAUAUAUAUAUAUAUAUAUAUAUAUAUAUAUCCUUUUCCAACAGUCAAAUUAUUAUUUGUGCUUUGGGGCAUCAGUGAAUUUGAUUUUUGAUAGGUUAGCCUGUAACCAAGUAUAUAUAAUUUGAGUUUAUCUUAGAUAAUUUGUGUGAUUCUAAUAAUCAUAGUGAGGUUAAGAUCCUUCAAAGUGGACAGGUUGAGAAAAAGUGUACUCAUUUACAAAAUGAUGUUGUUACUAGAGUUGGUAUUGAUUGGAGAGAAGCAUUUAAAAGAGCAUAUGAAGGUAUACUUGAGUUUUAUUUCAUGACAAAUAGGACUUGGUCUUGGGCUCUUGGCAUAUCAGUAAUUAUGUUCUCCUUUUAUUUUAAUCUUAUAUAAAACUAAUAAAAGUUAUCCCAGUGAGAUAAUGUUACAUGCGACAGUUUGACAUGAUUUUUUUAUUUUGUUCAGUGAAAUGUCUAGCACAAUAGGGAUUAAUAUGCAUUGUGCAUGUAAUAUAUAUUAGUUUGUAUUCGUUCAAAAGAAAUUAGACAUCUGGUUGGUGCAUGUUAUUGGUAGUACAGAUCUACUGUAAGAGCAUAUGAAGGUAUACAUCAUACUAUUGCAGAGGUUUUGAUGAUGAAAUGAGAACCAUGGUUGCAAGAAACCUGGAAGGAAGGGGAGUUCAUUUACAUCCAUAAACAAACUUGAUAGAGGUGCUUCAUUAUUUGUUCAAAUCAUGUUAUAUUUAAGUUUGCUAACUAUUGGUUCAACUAGAACUCCCAUCUUAUGAUUUUCUUUUUAGAUUAUAUUAUUUUGCACAUAGAUAUUGAAUGUAAACGUUUUUGUAUCUAUAAACUUGCAUGAAAGCUAGUGGUUAUAGUGUUUGUAUUCGAUCAAAGUAUGAUACAAUACCAUUGAAUUUAGUUCAUACUUCAUUGAAUGUGAUGUUGCAAGUCACCUAAUCAUUUUGGAAGCAAUGAAGCUCAUGGCAUGAUUAUCCAGGGCACACACUACAAAAUUGACAUGCUGUAUUAACUUUAAAAUCAAGGGACAGGAUUUUAUAUGUUAAGCAUAUUGGUCCUUAACUAGUAGGUUUGUCCCAUAACGUAUGCUUGGUUCUACAUCUGAUUGAAAAACUUCUCCUUCAGCUCUAUGCUUGUGUUAUACUGCGCUCAUGAUUUGGAAUUGGAUUUGGAAAGAUUUGAAAUUGGAUUUAAUUUGGUUGUGCACAAUGUUGCUGUGAUAUUUGGCUGUGCAGAGUGUUGCUGUGAUUUGAUUUAUAUUGUUGUGAUUUUAUUUGGUUGUGUUCGUGAACACUGUGUUGUUGUGGCUGUGAUUUAUGUUACUUUCACACUGUGUUGUUGUGCCUGAGAUUUAUGUUGCUGUGAUGUUGCAGGAGGUUUGGUUUACAGGCUUUGAUAUGGAAUAUGAAUAAGACGCAUAUCUUGUUGUGAUGUUGCAGGAGGUUUAUGUUGCUGUGAUGUCGUUAGGAGGAAUUGGUUUUGAUGUUGCAGCAGGUCUUUCUUUUAUUUGUUAUAGGUCGUUCUUUUAUUUGUUAAACGUUGACAACAGGUUUACAACAUAUGUACUGGACAACAGCUGGACAACGGGGAGGUUUAUGUUGCUGUGAUAUGUACUGGACAACAGGAUAUGUAUUUAACACUCCGCUAGUCUUACUAACGGACAGACAAUUUCCAAUUACCCAAUUACUUCAGUGGGGGGCAUAUUUGUCCAAAAAAUGUUUUAAUAUGUUCGCUAGAAUUACUAGCGGACGGUGCAUAUCAUUUCAAAAUCUGGGUCAUUUAUAUUUCUAAUGGAAGGUGUAGAUGUUAUAUGCUACUUUUUGAUCCAUAGCAAAUAAAUGCUAUGGAUCAUUCUCCUAUAUAUAUAUAUACUGAAUCACCUAUAUAUAUAUAUAUACUGAAUCAGGUUAUAUAUUGAAAUAUGUUAUAUAUUGAAUCAACAGCACUUGUGGACUAAUAUAUAUAUACAUACACUAAUAUUUUCUCUUUUACCAAAU
rnacentral:lncRNA from 1 species